UACGGAGGGUGCAAGCGUUGUCCGGAAUCACUGGGCGUAAAGGGCGCGUAGGCGGCUCAUGAAGGCUGUGGUGAAAGUCCGGGGCUCAACCCCGGAUCGGCCGUGGCGACUCGUGGGCUGGAGCACUGUAGAGGCGGGUGGAAUUCCAGGUGUAGCGGUGGAAUGCGUAGAGAUCCGGAAGAACACCAGUGGCGAAGGCGGCCCGCUGGGCAGUGGCUGACGCUGAGGCGCGACAGCGUGGGGAGCAAACAGG
rnacentral:rRNA from 1 species